UCGAGAAUCUUCGGCAAUGGGCGCAAGCCUGACCGAGCGACGCCGCGUGCGGGAUGAAGGCCUUCGGGUUGUAAACCGCUGUCGUAGGGGAGGAAGAUCCUGUGAAGAACAGGGUUUGACCGAUCCUAGGAGGAAGCGCCGGCUAAUCUCGUGCCAGCAGCCGCGGUAAUACGAGAGGCGCAAACGUUAUUCGGAAUUACUGGGCUUAAAGAGUUCGUAGGCGGCGCGGAAAGUGGGGUGUGAAAGCCCUCGGCUCAACCGAGGAAUUGCGCUCCAAACUACCGUGCUUGAGGAAGCUAGAGGUGAGCAGAACAGAUGGUGGAGCGGUGAAAUGCGUUGAUAUCAUCUGGAAUACCGGAGGCGAAGGCGGCUCACUGGGGCUUUUCUGACGCUGAGGAACGAAAGCCAGGGUAGCGAACGG
rnacentral:rRNA from 1 species